rnacentral:misc_RNA from 1 species
AACGCACCUUGCGCUCCUUGGUAUUCCGAGGAGCAUGCCUGUUUGAGUGUCAUUAAAUUGUCAAGUCCUUUUUAUUUAGAAAAAAUGGCUUGGAUUUUUUUUUGGAGUGUUUGCUGGCUUUUUAACAAAGUUGGCUUCUCUUAAAUGUAUUAUAUAACCUUUUGUGGAUAGAAAAGGGCUUUGGUUUUGAUAACUAAAUAAUCUUAUGUCAUUGCCCUUUUUUUUAUGAAGCAAAUGCCACUUUGAUAUUUGACCUCAAAUCAGGUAGGACUACCCGCUGAACUUAA